rnacentral:rRNA from 1 species
GUACACUCCUGCGGGAGGCAGCAGUGGGGAAUUUUGGACAAUGGGCGAAAGCCUGAUCCAGCCAUGCCGCGUGCAGGAUGAAGGCCUUCGGGUUGUAAACUGCUUUUGUACGGAACGAAACGGCCUUUUCUAAUACAGAGGGCUAAUGACGGUACCGUAAGAAUAAGCACCGGCUAACUACGUGCCAGCAGCCGCGGUAAUACGUAGGGUGCAAGCGUUAAUCGGAAUUACUGGGCGUAAAGCGUGCGCAGGCGGUUAUGUAAGACAGUUGUGAAAUCCCCGGGCUCAACCUGGGAACUGCAUCUGUGACUGCAUAGCUAGAGUACGGUAGAGGGGGAUGGAAUUCCGCGUGUAGCAGUGAAAUGCGUAGAUAUGCGGAGGAACACCGAUGGCGAAGGCAAUCCCCUGGACCUGUACUGACGCUCAUGCACGAAAGCGUGGGGAGCAAACAGGAUUAGAUACCCCAGUAGUCCCA